CCUACGGGAGGCUGCAGUAGGGAAUCUUCCACAAUGGGCGAAAGCCUGAUGGAGCAACGCCGCGUGGGUGAAGAAGGUCUUCGGAUCGUAAAACCCUGUUGUUAGAGAAGAAAGUGCGUGAGAGUAACUGUUCACGUUUCGACGGUAUCUAACCAGAAAGCCACGGCUAACUACGUGCCAGCAGCCGCGGUAAUACGUAGGUGGCAAGCGUUAUCCGGAUUUAUUGGGCGUGAAGGGAACGCAGGCGGUCUUUUAAGUCUGAUGUGAAAGCCUUCGGGUUAACCGGAGUAGUGCAUUGGAAACUGGGAGACGUGAGUGCAGAAGAGGAGAGUGGAACUCCAUGUGUAGCGGUGAAAUGCGUAGAUAUAUGGAAGAACACCAGUGGCGAAAGCGGCUCUCUGGUCUGUAACUGACGCUGAGGUUCGAAAGCGUGGGUAGCAAACAGGAUUAGAUACCCCUGUAGUC
rnacentral:rRNA from 1 species